CCUACGGGAGGCAGCAGUAGGGAAUCUUCCGCAAUGGACGAAAGUCUGAAGGCAGCACGCCGCGUGAGUGAUGAAGGUUUUCGGAUCGUAAAGCUCUGUUGCCAGGGAAGAAUGCUUGGGAGAGUAACUGCUCCCAAGGUGACGGUUCCUGAGAAGAAGCCCCGGCUUACUACUAUGCCAGCAGCCGCGGUAAU
rnacentral:rRNA from 1 species